AUGUGUACGUGUAUAUAUAUAUAUAUAUAUACUUCUAUGUGCAUGUGUGUGUAUCAGUAUAAACUGUUCUGGCUGGUUGCUAUGAUAACUGCCCUUAACUAUGAGAGUGGUCUGAAUGCAAGACUAGUGCUCUAUCAUGCGCAUGCAUGUCACUAGAGUGUCAGGGGGUUUCCAGGUGCAGCAAGGCAACAGGAACUCAGCAGCGCUGGGGAGACAGUGGUACUGCUUGUAAUAUUAACAUUAACCAAUGCCUGUCUGCUGCAUUUAACCCUUUCACUGCAGUCUACACACAACACACACAAAGCAAAGGGGUUAAAGACCCAGACCUCAGGCUAUAGGGCAUCAACUAUGUUUUUAUAGAGCUGUCAUAGACACAGCGCUGGGCAUUAUACACUGCAAGGAGCUCUGUAUAAACAGGGACAUACCUAUCCCACCCUCUGGGGUAAUUUAUAGAUUUAUAUAGGACACCAGUUUGCACAUGUACAGCACCAAGUACACACUCACACUCAGUUUUACAUAAUCAAACCCUGCCUAUAGGCUACCGGGCUAGAACAGACGACCCUGGUUGGUACCUUGUGUAUAUAUAAAUAUAACACUGCACUUUUACAGCACAGACACAUGGGAACAAAUACAAAGAAUAAUGAGACAAGAAGACGAAUGUUUCAAUAGAGGUGCUGCCCAUUAGAUUGCAAGAUCCAUAGGGACACAAACACAGAGGAUAAUUCUCUAAUACUCACCCGAGGUUGGGGUCGCUGGCAGAAGGGCAUUAUGAAAAUCCUAAUUAUUCCAGAGACAUCAGGGUUAAACCCGGCUGGUGAUUGGCUGCCCGUGCAUAUGGGACGCUGGGGAUUACUGUAUCAGCCUUGCUAUCUGUCCAGGAUAAAGUACAUUUUGUUAUGAGUUGGAGAACUGGACUCCCACAAAUAGUUCCUGGAAAGCAGCAGCCGCGCCUCUCUGGGGUCUCCCACGCACCAAAUCAAGGAUCCUGCCUCCGAUAUUUACCCACAAUGCCCCUUAAUAGAGCAGCUGGCCAGACAAGGAGAGGGGUUUCUUCCUUUAAUGAACCUUUUUGCUUUGCAAUGUGGGAAUGAAUUCAGUUGUCUGGUUGCUAAGGUCAGUGUUCCUAGAAACCAGGCAGUGUAUCAGAGACUGACAGGAAAGGGGGAUGAAUAGAAAAAUAAAACUUUCUGAUUGGACCAGGAAACAAGAGGCACAAGCGUCACACCCACUGGCACCAUUUAGUUGUUUAGAAAUGUUUUACUCUUUAAAACUCAAAGGGUAUGUGGGGAAGGGUGCAGGGGAUACCUGUCAUGGGACGGACUUGCACCCACCCACUGUCAGCAGACACAGUACAAACAAUCCCUGUUUGAGCCAGGCCCUAUUAUUUACAGUCUCAGCAGGAACAGCCUGCAGGCACCGUACAGUAGGCAGGGGAACUCCGCAGUAAAGUGGCAUUUGCACCACCCCCAGUAACCCAAAUGUCUCUAUCAUUAGAUGUCGGGGGGAACAGUGACCUCAGCCACCAUCCCUAUUUGUUUAUAGUUAUUCUCUCAGGUGCAGGUGUACACUAGAAGGCAUACAGCAGCCCCACUCAAUCAGAACAUAGCAUUAGUAGCUAUAGCAGGGCAGGAAGGAUUGUGUUCCCUUAGCUGAACUCAAUCCACCAUGCAGAGCUGUUUAGCCAAUCAGGCUCAGGAAGCAGCCAAUAAGAGGAGAGCUUGCAGUCCCUCUAACAGACCUGACAGCCAUUGGGGGCUUUUGAACUCUAACUGAAUUUGUAAAAGAAAGGUGGGGCCCGAGUGGAGAUAAGGCAGAACAGAGUCUCUAUAUAUUCUAUUAAGGGCAGUAGGACCCCUGCAGGGCAGGAAAGACAAUGGUGGCUCCAUCUUGGGAAACAAAUGAAAAGAAAGUGCCAAGGCCAGAAAUAAAAUGCCUUCCAGUCACAGAAACCCGAUGCCAUCAGACUAAUGCCCCCAAACAGGGACUUGGGCAGAAAGUGGGGUCUGGAAUGAAGCGCUUGUUCCAGUGCCCCCAGGUGGAGGAAGUAUUUAUUAUCCAAACACAAGAGGCUGGGAAGAGCCCAGGGGUCUCUAACAGAAAGAAACUGCUCUUUGCUCUGGGGGUGUUUAUCAUGCUGCUUGUAGUCGUGCUCUUGCUCUUGUGGAACUAUAAGUGCACCAUCAUCGACCGGCAGUGCCAGGGGAACAGCGAGCUCCUCACACCACUCUUUCAGGACAACUGAUUCAUCCCUGGGAUCUAAUGGCAACUAUGACUAUAAAUAAUUCCUUCUGUUCUGUGUAUUCAUGUUUUCCCCCUUAAAUUUAAGUGCUCGGGUGUGGCCCUUCCUCUGCACUAAUACGGGCCCCCACCUCUGCGACCAUCCAACACCCAAAAGGGUCAAUCCUGCUCAGCUUUCUCGUUGCCAUAGGCAGCAAUGUAAAUAAAAAUCAAUAAAAAUAA